UGAUGAGUUGAAGGAGAGGAGGAUGAAUGAGAAGUGAGGACGGAUUGGAAAGGAUAUGAAAAUGGACCAAUAGAGUUAUCAUGGGGAACUUUUGCCGUGGAUCCCAGGGCUACACUCCCCUCGGCCAUCUUCUUGUUUUCAUCACAUUCAUUGCCUCACUUUUCCUCAUCUUUGCUCUUAUGUGGUUCUUUCCGUUCUGAUUUGUUGAACUCAAUGCGGAUACUUAGAUACAGUCUACAACAUUCAGUCUAGUAAAAACUCAGCCGAUAUGUUGAGUUAUGACCAACCAACGCCAUUGAAGAUCUGCAGUACUGUCCAGUUUACACUGUUCAGUGUGUGUACCAUGGAAUAUGUACAUUCAAUGUACAUUUUACAGCUAAAAAUGAUCCCAUAGAUUAUUCGAUGCAGACACCAAAAGAUAGUUUAAUAUGCUCAAAAGCCUAGCUAAAAUUGUGUACAUAAUAUUAAUGUAGUAUCAAAUUGUUAAAACAAUAUAUUAUAUUUAUAAUGGAUAAAACAGUGCUUUACAGUGUUAUAUCCUCAGAAUAUAUAUAUAUAUAUUCAGAGUAUAUAUAUUCUGAGGUUAUAUCAUAGGAUAACCCAUUUAGUAAAAUUUACCGAUGCUAUGUAGAUAAUUUCUAAGAAGGCAGAUAGGAAAAUGGCAAAUAGAUGAACGAAUAUAAGAAAUUUUAUAGAAAAGAAAAUAGUGAAUUUUUUAAUACUAUCUCGAGUGCCCGGCGCUGCCCAGGUUUAUAUUAUUAUCAUAGUCAAAGAUACUUUCGCCGUUUACCCGCGCUUUGUAUUGAAUCAUGAUUUUAGUUUAACUGCCCGGCGUUUUCCGUAGAAUUGAAAAAAUGUCCAUAAGCUUAACUUACUCCAAGGGAUUCCCAUCGAUUUCCUAUCUAAAGGGUUUUAGCCAGUUUGGUCCAGCUGUUUGGCCAGAUUGGUACAGCUGUUUAGCCAGUUUGGUACAGCUGUUUAGCCAGUUUGGUCCAGCUGUU
rnacentral:lncRNA from 1 species